UACGUAGGGUGCGAGCGUUGUCCGGAAUUACUGGGCGUAAAGAGCUCGUAGGCGGUUCGUCGCGUUGUUCGUGAAAACUCACAGCUUAACUGUGGGCGUGCGGGCGAUACGGGCAGACUGGAGUACUGCAGGGGAGACUGGAAUUCCUGGUGUAGCGGUGGAAUGCGCAGAUAUCAGGAGGAACACCGGUGGCGAAGGCAGGUCUCUGGGCAGUAACUGACGCUGAGGAGCGAAAGCGUGGGGAGCGAACAGG
rnacentral:rRNA from 1 species